rnacentral:rRNA from 1 species
ACGGCUCAGUAACACGUGGAUAACCUACCCUCAGAUCUGGGAUAACUCCGGGAAACUGGAGAUAAUACCGGAUAAUCCGUGAACGCUGGAAUGCCUUACGGUUGAAAGCUUUAGCGUCUGAGGAUGGGUCUGCGGCCGAUUAGGUAGUUGCUGGGGUAACGUCCCAACAAGCCGAUAAUCGGUACGGGUUGUGAGAGCAAGAGCCCGGAGAUGGAUUCUGAGACACGAAUCCAGGUCCUACGGGGCGCAGCAGGCGCGAAAACUUUACACUGCGCGAAAGCGCGAUAAGGGGACCUCGAGUGCGUGCGCAAUGCGUACGCUUUUCAGAUGCCUAAAAAGCAUGUGGAAUAAGGGCCGGGCAAGACCGGUGCCAGCCGCCGCGGUAACACCGGCGGCUCAAGUGGUGGCCGCUAUUAUUGGGCUUAAAGGGUCCGUAGCCGGACCAGUUAGUCCCUUGGGAAAUCUUACGGCUUAACCGUAAGGCUGCCAAUGGAUACUGCUGGUCUUGGGACCGGGAGAGGUAAGAGGUACCUCAGGGGUAGGAGUGAAAUCCUGUAAUCCUUGAGGGACCGCCAGUGGCGAAGGCGUCUUACUAGAACGGGUCCGACGGUGAGGGACGAAAGCUAGGGGCACGAACCGGAUUAGAUACCCGGGUAGUCCUAGCCGUAAACGAUGCGAGCUAGGUGUCACGUGGAUUGCGAAUCCAUGUGGUGCCGAAGGGAAACCGUGAAGCUCGCCGCCUGGGAAGUACGGCCGCAAGGCUGAAACUUAAAGGAAUUGGCGGGGGAGCAC